rnacentral:snRNA from 1 species
AAUAGCUCGCUUUGUCUUCACUG